rnacentral:rRNA from 1 species
UACCAGCACCCCGAGUGGUCGGGACGAUUAUUGGGCCUAAAGCAUCCGUAGCCGGUUCUACAAGUCUUCCGUUAAAUCCACCUGCUUAACAGAUGGGCUGCGGAGGAUACUAUGGAGCUAGGAGGCGGGAGAGGCAAGCGGUACUUAGUGGGUAGGGGUAAAAUCCUCUGAUCCAUUGAAGACCACCAGUGGCGAAGGCGGCUUGCCAGAACGCGCUCGACGGUGAGGGAUGAAAGCUGGGGGAGCAAACCGG